rnacentral:rRNA from 1 species
AGAGUUUGAUCAUGGCUCAGGACGAACGCUGGCGGCGUGCUUAACACAUGCAAGUCGAGCGAGGCCCUUCCUUCGGGAAGGUGUCCUAGCGGCGAACGGGUGAGUAACACGUGGGCAACCUGCCCCUAGCACUGGGAUAACCCCGGGAAACCGGGGCUAAUACCGGAUACGACCUCGGAGGGCAUCCUCCUUGGUGGAAAGGUUUUCUGGCUAGGGAUGGGCCCGCGGCCUAUCAGCUUGUUGGUGGGGUAACGGCCUACCAAGGCGACGACGGGUAGCCGGCCUGAGAGGGCGACCGGCCACACUGGGACUGAGACACGGCCCAGACUCCUACGGGAGGCAGCAGUGGGGAAUAUUGCACAAUGGGCGAAAGCCUGAUGCAGCGACGCCGCGUGAGGGAUGACGGCCUUCGGGUUGUAAACCUCUUUCAGCAGGGACGAAGCGAAAGUGACGGUACCUGCAGAAGAAGCACCGGCCAACUACGUGCCAGCAGCCGCGGUAAUAC